rnacentral:rRNA from 2 species
GGACUACUGGGGUAUCUAAUCCUGUUUGCUCCCCACGCUUUCGUGCCUGAGCGUCAGUGUCGACCCAGGGGGCUGCCUUCGCCAUCGGUGUUCCUCCGCAUCUCUACGCAUUUCACUGCUACACGCGGAAUUCCACCCCCCUCUGCCGCACUCAAGCCCGCCAGUUUCCAAUGCCAUUCCCAGGUUAAGCCCGGGGCUUUCACAUCGGACACAGCGAACCGCCUGCGCACGCUUUACGCCCAGUAAUUCCGAUUAACGCUCGCACCCUACGUAUUACCGCGGCUGCUGGCAC